UUUCUUCGGGGCAGGGUGCAAUUCCCAACCGGCGGUAUAGUCCGCGACCCGCGAUCGAAAAUGAGAGCGGCUGAUUUGGUGUAAUUCCAAAACCGACAGUAGAGUCUGGAUGAGAGAAGAA
rnacentral:ncRNA from 1 species